CCUACGGGAGGCUGCAGUGAGGAAUAUUGGUCAAUGGGCGCUAGCCUGAACCAGCCAAGCAGCGUGAAGGAUGACUGUCCCAUGCGUUGUAAACUUCUUUUAUAUGGGAACAAAGUGCAGCAUGUAUACCUCUUCGCAUGUACUUUAUGAAUAAGGAUCGGCUAACUCCGUGCCAGCAGCCGCGGUAAUACGGAGGAUCCGAGCGUUAUCCGGAUUUAUUGGGUUUAAAGGGUGCGUAGGCGGGUUGUUAAGUCAGCUGUGAAAGUUCGCGGCUCAACCGCAGGAUUGCAGUUGAUACUGGCAUCCUUGAGUACAGUAGAGGUAGGCGGAAUGCGUGGUGUAGCGGUGAAAUGCUUAGAUAUUGCGAAGAACUCCGAUUGCGAAGGCAGCCUGCUGGAGUGUAGCUGACGCUGAUGCACGAAAGUGUGGGUAUCGAACAGGAUUAGAUACCCCGGUAGUC
rnacentral:rRNA from 1 species